rnacentral:rRNA from 1 species
UACGAAGGGGGCUAGCGUUGUUCGGAAUCACUGGGCGUAAAGCGCACGCAGGCGGAUCGUUAAGUCAGGGGUGAAAUCCCGAGGCUCAACCUCGGAACUGCCUUUGAUACUGGCGAUCUUGAGUCCGGGAGAGGUGAGUGGAACUCCGAGUGUAGAGGUGAAAUUCGUAGAUAUUCGGAAGAACACCAGUGGCGAAGGCGGCUCACUGGCCCGGUACUGACGCUCAUGUGCGAAAGCGUGGGGAGCGAUCCGG